GUUGCCGCGUUCCGUGUGCCGAGGUUCUGAGGAUAACGAGGUAUCAGAAUAUUGCAAUGCAAUAAUUGCGCUUGUGAUGGACACGUAUCCUGGACUGUACUAACAUUAGCGCGUAACACGGAGAAGGUUCUGGAAGCACGCGAGUUGCCGAUAAAGAAUGUGACGGGCAGCAGUGAUCCGUACAUCAAGGUAUACCUGUUGCCGGACAGAAAUAAGAAGUGCCAGACGAAAGUGCAUCGAAAGAACCUAAAUCCGAUAUUCAACGAGACAUUCAUCUUUAGGUAAGCUGUUUACGAUCAUCGGAUGUACCUUUAAACAUCUGUUAUCCAAAUGAUACUAGGAAGAAGAAAUUGAUGGAGAAAUCGAAACAAUGGAAAAAUUUAUUCAUAAUUUAUCGUAGCAACGUGUCAUACAAGGAACUAAGGGAGCGUUUUAUCUGAAAUUCUUUGUUUACGAGUUUGAUCAGACAAGAAAACUAUAAAUAUAAAUAUUCACAAUGAAACCGUCGAGCAGAAAGUUAUUUCAAUUUCGAUCUUUUACAUGGGUUUUUGAUAAACUGUUACUAGACAUUAUAAAUCUUUACACAUUUCCUGUUGGGUCAUUUUUCAAUUCCUUUCACGCUGCGUGAAUCGUAUGUGUCCCAUCGUCGCAAAACGAAUAUAUAGUUUUAUUUAUAAAUAAAAUGUAUUGCAUAAUA